UACAGAGGUCUCAAGCGUUGUUCGGAUUCAUUGGGCGUAAAGGGUGUGUAGGUGGCGCGCUAAGUCGGGUGUGAAAUUUCGGAGCUUAACUCCGAAACUGCAUUCGAUACUGGCGUGCUUGAGGACUGGAGAGGAGACUGGAAUUCAUAGUGUAGCAGUGAAAUGCGUAGAUAUUGGGAGGAACACCAGUGGCGAAGGCGGCUCACUGGACCGGUACUGACGCUGAUGCGCGAAAGCGUGGGGAGCAAACGGG
rnacentral:rRNA from 1 species